UUUAAGGUCUAACCUGCCCAAUGAGGAUUUAAAUGGCCGCAGUAUUUUGACUGUGCAAAGGUAGCAUAAUUAUUAGUUUUUUAAUUGAAAGCUUGUAUGAAGGGUUGGACGAGAUGAAAUCUGUCUUUAUUUAAAUUAAAAUAUAAUUUAACUUUUAAGUAAAAAGGCUUAAAUGUUUAUAAAAGACGAGAAGACCCUAUAGAUCUUUAUUUAAUUAAAAUUUUAAUAAUUUAGGAUUAUUUUAAUUUAAAGUUUUAAUUAAAUUUUAUUGGGGUAAUAUAAAGAUUAAAUAAAUUCUUUUUAUUUAUAACAUUGAUUUAUGAAUAUAUGAUCCAUUAAUAUUGAUUAUAAGAUUAAGUUACCUUAGGGAUAACAGCGUAAUUUUUUUGGAGAGCUCAUAUCGAUAAAAAAGUUUGCGACCUCGAUGUUGGAUUAAAAAUUAGCUUGGGUGCAGAAGCUCAAGAUUUUGGUCUGUUCGACCAUUAAAUUUUUACAUGAUCUGAGUUCAGACCGGCGUAAGCCAGGUCGGUUUCUAUCUUUAUUAAGAUAAAAUGUUUUAGUACGAAAGGACCAAAUAUUUAAUAUAAUUAUAUUUAUUUUUU
rnacentral:rRNA from 1 species